rnacentral:piRNA from 1 species
UGAUUGGUGAGAUCGAUGGGGAAUAUCGAC